CCUACGGGAGGCAGCAGGGAGGAAUAUUGGGCAAUGGACGGAAGUCUGAACCAGCCAGGCCGCGUGCAGGAAGACGGCUCGAUGAGUGAUAAACUGCUUUUGUACAAGGGUAAACCUGAAUACGUGGAUUCAGCUGAAAGGACGGUACGAAUAAGGAGCGGCUAACUCCGUGCCAGCAGCCGCGGUAAUACGGAGGAUCCAAGCGUUAUCCGGAUUUAUUGGGUUUAAAGGGUGCGUAGGCGGAUUGAUAAGUUAGAGGUGAAAUGUCCGAGCUUAACUCGGGAACUGCCUCUAAUACUGUUGAUCUAGCGCGUAGAUGCGGUAGGCGGCAUGUCUGGUGUCGCGGUGAACUGCUU
rnacentral:rRNA from 1 species